UCUCUGGCCUCCGUAAAUGAGCAUCAGAGCUGAAUUACUGCCUCCUUUUGGCAUCUGCUGCCUGUGAACAGCAGCUUUCUCAAUAUUAAUAAUAAUAUUACCGAUGGCAGCGCUGAAAUAAAAAAUAAAAAAAAGAGGGAUUAGCGCUCAUACUGCUGGAUGAGAAGUCACUGCCUGGCUGGUAUACAUGUGGGGAUUUGAUUUGACUUUUCUUUAAACACAGCGAACGGGAAGCCAAAAAUCUUUUUCAUUUAAGAGCAAUUAAGUGGAUCCCAGAAUCACUGGCUCCAGCACGCCGCCGAGGCUUCUUUUUUUUUUCCCCCUGGUUUUAUUACCCAUUUCCUCUCCCUUGCGCCAGCAGAAGGAAUGCUCACUUUUCUCUCACAAAGCCACAUUUCCAGCGUCAGAAUCACACAGGGACCACCAUGAUUAAGUGCAAACCAGUGCUUCCCUAAACAUGUGAGACAUUAUGGACCCCCCUCCUCCUCCUCAAAACACUGGAGAAGUGUUGUGUUCCAACAUUUAUGUGAAGUAAUUAAAAACAUCCACCAGUAAUUUAAUAGUUCUCACCAAGCAGAGACAUGAAGUCUACACAGUUUUUUUCUUUUUUUUCGCUCUGUAUAAAUAACCUGGAAUGCAGUGAGUACACAGACAGACGAUUUGGUCAUUUUCUCCCCCCCCAUCCCUCCCUCCUUCCUGCUUUUUGCAACAUUUUGUAAGAAGCCCUGUUCUGUGUCACUUUGGCCCGCGAUGAGGUUGUUCACUUACGAGCAACACGCUCGGCUUGACUUUUAAAUUCGUGUUCCCGAUAGCGUACGUCCAUACAUCAUACGCUGACGGCAGAUUCAAAUCAAGGCUUCCCUAUAAACUGCAGGCUGUCACUCUGCGAGUCUCUCUCGACAUCAGCGAGCAUAGAAAUGACCUCGAGCUCUCGGUGGCAGCGUUGCAUCCGAAUGUGGACGGCUGUGUGAAGUGCAUGUCAAUAGCCCAGGGAGCAGUGCAACAAGACAUGUGGUUCCAAUCUGUCUCCUUUCUCACAGCAAGAGUGGGAGCGUUCAUUUAUCUCACUAUGGGGUGAGGUAACUGUGGCCCAGGAGGAGGUGAACAACCGGACUCCUUCUUCCCGCCUAAGAAAAUAUAUCUUAAUUGAUAAAGGAAGUUGAAUUUUCUCGUUUAGGGUUGCUGCGACUAUCCACCUGUUUGUGAUUAAAAGGUGCAAGAGAAGAAAAAAAACACCUGAUUAAGCUGGCUGUUUUGUUUUCACGGCACAUGUGUCUGUUUUUGCCACAGCAGGGCAAAAAGCUUGGAUAAAAGUCGAAAUGGGACCCGAUCAGUACUGCUGAUCCCAGUGGAAGGUCUGGCAGCUUUUGCAUUGUCAUAUUUCCAAGAUGCAACCUGAGGAGCUUGAAGUGCAAAAACCUGCAUUUCCUCUAGUGGCCACUUGAGGCUGACUUCAAAAGUGAGUCAAUCUCCAUAAAGUGCCAUGUGUAAACAUCCAACUAUACAGAUGUCACAGCUGGGUGUCAAAUCUCUCCAGCUGACCUUGUUCCAGUAGCUUUUAUCGGUAUUUUAUGUCUAUUGUGUGUGUUGUGUAUAGAUACACCUGUGUUUUUUACACCUGCCUGCUAUUUUCUAGAAUUACUUUAAGCUUUCCGCAGAGAUUUGUAUUACAAAAGAUAUUCUAAGGACUUCCCUUAGUCACCAUGCACCAACAGUUUACCUACAUCAUUAAAUCAGUAGCUACAUUAUCGCUGUUUAAGAAACAUUCAAAAAUGUUUACAAUUAAACACUUUUUAAAUCAUAUUUUAUUUGUUUGUCAACAUAUCUCUUAUCUGAUUGUAAUUUUGCUGGUUCUUUUCAUUUAAAAGCUCUCUUUCACAGUGUGUCUUUUGUCCUGUCUCCCUCAUCUCACUCCCAACCGGUCGCUACAGACGGCCGUCAGUGAUUCUGCCAGAAGCAGAAUCAAGUCAAAAGGGAGUUUUUCCUCCCCACUAUCGCCAAGCGCUUUCUCACAGGGGGUCGUCUGAUUGCUUAUUAUUAUUGUAGGGUCUUUACCUUACAAUAUAAAGCCUGUUGAGCUGAUUGUUGUUAUGUGGUGUUAUAUAAAUACAAUUGAAUUGAACUGAAUAAAUUCUUGCUGUUG